GGAGAUAUAGCAUAAUGGUUAAUGUAUUUCAUUUACAUUGA
rnacentral:tRNA from 1 species